ensembl:lncRNA
AUGGAUUCUUCACUUCCGACUUGAAUAUCCUGUUUUCAAUCAUUCUUUUCCUAGACCUGUCUGUAGCUUUUGAUACUUAGUUGUUGUUUAGUUAUGACUGACUCUUUGUAACUCCAUGGACUAAUACACACAAUACUGUCUGUGAGGUUUGGAUUUUUUUGGGAGGGGGGCAAAGAUAGUGGAAUGGUUUGUCAUUUCUUUUUUUUUUUUUUUAUUUAAUAGCCUUUUAUUUACAGGAUAUAUACAUGGGUAACUUUACACGGUUUGUCAUUUCUUAAUAAGGUCACACAGUAAUUAAGUAUCUGAGACCAGAUUUGAUUCCAGUUCUCCUAAUUCCAGACCCUUAUCCACUGAGCCACCUAGCUGCCUCCCUUUGAUACUGAUAACUACACACUAUUACUUAGUAGUUCCUUUUUCCACUCUUGGAUUCAAAAACUUUACACUCUUAUCACCCUCUUCCUUUUUCUCCCCUUAUUUCUUAUCCUUAUUCCUUCCCUUAAGAUGGGUGUUCCCUCUUGAGAGUAUGCUAGUGGCUCUUCUCUCUCCACUUUCUCCCCUUUAAAAAUCUCAUUCAUAUCUACAGCUAUCAUAGUCUUUACCAAAGCAUUGAUCUGAUCAUGUCACCACCAUCCCCAUUCAGUAAAUUUCAGCUCUUUUUCAGGAUCAAAAUCAAAAUCCUCUAUUCAGUUAUUACAACCAUUCACACACUGAUCCCUUCCUACCUUCCCAAUCUUCCUACACUUUAUUCCCUUUCACAUUCUCUGUGAUCAAGGAACACUGCCUUCCUUGCUGUAUGUACCUCACACAAGACAUUUAAUCUCCUGACUCUUGGCAUUUUCAGUGAGUAUCCCCUAUGCCUAGAAUAUUCUCCUUCCUCACCUUUGCCUACCAGAUUCCCUGGCUUCCUUCAAGUUUCAACUAAAAUCUCCUUUUAUGCAAGAAGUUAUUCCAUAUUCUCUUUAAUCCUGCCUUCCUUGGGAGAUUAUCUCCCAUUUGUGCUGUAUAGAUCUUGUUUGUUUAUGGUUUUAAUGUUUUCUCCCUCAUCAGACUGUGAGUUCCUUGAGAGAAGGGCCUGUUUUGCCUUUCUUAGUAUCCUCAGCACUUAACACAAUGCCAAACACAUAGUAAGUAUAUUUAUUAAAUAUGUAUUUAAUAAUGAGUAUUAUUUAAUGAUAGUAAUUAUUUAAUUAACAAGUAUUUUUUAAAUACUUGUUGAUUGAUUUAAACUCCAGCCUUUCCACAAGUGACUCCCAAAUCUAUAUCUUCAAUCCUGACCUAUAUCCAGACCUGUUUUUUUCCUAACAAUCUACAGGAUAGCUUUAUCUUAAUUUUCUACUAAAAGCUCAAACUGAACAUGCUCCAAUCCAAAAUCAUUAUAUUUGACUCCAUGGCUAAAACCAUGGGGUUAUCUCUGACUCUUCCCUCUCAAAUCCAAUAAGCUGCCAACUCAUUUCCACUUUUCAGUUCAUCCCUGCUAGAAUAAUCUUUGUUUUUUAUAAAAAGUGCUCACGCCUUCACUCUGAAAAAUCUGCACUGGAUCCCGAUUGCCUCCAGAGUGAAAUCUAGACUUCUUUGCAAUUCCAAGCAUUCAAAAUCUUUCACAAUCAGGCUUAUCUGAUAUUUUGUUGGAGUUCACGUCCAACUCUUCCUGCCCCCCCCCCCUUUUUUUUUUUGGCAAAGAUACUAGAACGAUUUACCAUUUCCUUCUUCGAUUCAUUUUACAACUGAACUAAGGUGAACAGGCAGAAUUAAGUAACCCAGAGUGACACCAAAGUGUUUCAUAUUACUGUUACCUUUCUGAAUUAAAUCAGAUUAUGUUUGGGACUAUUCUGAAUGGUUCUGGGACCCUAAAUUUAAAGAUCAAAGGGAUAUAAAAUACCACCUAAUCUAAUGUCUUAAAUUGCAUAUAAGGAAAAGGAGACCCAAGGAGCUAAAGGGAUCCAAAGUCAGAGGGAGAAAUAAUAAUAGCUAACAUUUAUAUAGCUCUUAUUAUGUGCCAGGCACGCUGCUAAACUCUUUACAAUUAUUAUUUGAUUUGAUUUUCACAACAACCCUGAGAAGGAAAUGCUAUUGUUAUGCCCAUUUUAGAGAGGACAAAAUUGAGAUAAACACCCAAUGAAUAUCUGGGGCAGAUUUGAACUCGGAUCCACCUAACAGCAGACCCUGUCUCCUGUACCACCUAGCCGCCCACACAGGAGCCAAGGUCUUCUGAAUCCAAACUCUCUGAGCUCUCUGGGCUGCUCCUGCCUCUCACCGGGCAGCUCUCCGCUCCCUUACGGUCUUUCUCUCACCCCUUCUUCAUCCACCCUUUAAAGUUCAAUUGCAAUGGCUCCCACUUCGGGAGGGCCUCCCCAACCUCCAUCCCGACGCGCGCUUCCCUGAUGGAUGCCUGCUUUCGUGCCUCGUUCUCUUCCCGGACCCCACACUCCGUGGGAGUUUCGUGCCUCGUUCUCUUCCCGGACCCCACACUCCGUGGGAGUUUCGUGCCUCGUUCUCUUCCCGGACCACACACUCCGUGGGAGUUUCGUGCCUCGUUCUCUUCCCGGACCACACACUCCGUGGGAGUGGGGACUAGGGCUCUGUCCCCUGGGACCUGGCCUGGGGCGGUCCUGCACUAGCAUCUUUGUUAAUGAAUGCGUGGGUACUUAGAGCAGUUACACGCGUGGUUUUGUAACUUUCCCCUCUUAGCGGGGAGACUGGGCUGCGGCUGGGAUGCUCGCAGGGCCACCUGUC